UGUUUUUCUUUCAAAACUUAACGAAUGAAUGUUCAUAAUUGUUUGUAUUGAUUUGCAUUAUUUUAUUUCAAAGAUGCUUUAUUUUUGUCCUGUUAAUUUUUGCCUUCUGAUAAAGAUGCAUGUGUCAGUUUUCUCGGUGCACGUUUUAUUACUAAUCUCCUAGGUUUGUAGAGCACUGGUUUGUUUUUUGCUUUUAUCAAAUACAGAACCAGAAGAUUUUAAAAUAUUUUUACUAUAGAAAUUUUAGUUUACAAAAAAAAAAAUUUACAGGUGGUGAUUUAGGAAAUUUUUUAGCUUGGUUUGAGUUCAACAGGAGGCGAUAAAACAAAUGAAUUUUUUAAAAUUUACAAUUAGUUUAACUUUUUAUUUAUCUGUAAGGUGUAUAAAAGCUGCAUUUUAUGGUCCAAUAAAACAAAAUGUGUUGCAACAACCCUCUUAUCACCAUUCUUCGUUCAAUCAAGUUUGUCAAGUGUAUUAAUUAAUGUGAACAGAAUCAUUAAGACUCGAUUCCUCCUAUCAAAAGGAUCAACACUGGAAUGAUAAUACUCAAAACUUCAUUCAUUUAACUGAUAUAGCACAACGAAUUGGUUCAGGGGACUUACGAGAAGGCUUAGGAAAUAUCAUAUCGGCAGCAGUCCAAUCGGCAGCACCAGAAAGUUGCGCUGCCGAAAUAGGUAGUCAAGGCUAUGUAAACAAAGAUUUGGAUGAAGACGAUUAUGCAUUUAUACCGAAUUGUAAUAGGCCCACAACCGAAACGGAGUCCAUCUCUUGUUUUCAUGGAGAGUCUGUAGUUUUGACACCAAGUGGGAAAAUUCGCUUAAAAGAUCUCAAGACAGGGAUGAAAGUUGCUACUCACCAUACCAAACAAACAGACAAAGUUACACUUCAAUACAAUCCUGUAUUAUUUUUUUUGCAUAAAGAUAAGACAAUCAAACAUUCAUCAUGGAUCACUCUUGUUUGGAAAGUAGAAAAAAAAGGCGUUCAUGAACAAACUGGAAAAUUAACAGUAUCGCCUUAUCAUUUAAUUAAAACUUUUCAGCACUACAUGAAUGCUGAAGGAAACUUUGGCCAAAAGGUUUCAUUUGUUGCAGCCAAAAGAGUGAAAGUAGGGGAUCAAGUAGAGGUAGUACAAAAUGUUACAAGUUCACAAAAACGAAUUGAAACACAAGUGAUUCAUGCAAACGUUAUUUCUAUUUACGGAAAAUAUUCUACUAAUCAGAAACAUGAAGGCCUAUAUGCUCCAGUAACGGUUAAGGGAACAUUGAUUGUUGACAACAUUAUUGCAAGCCAAUACAGUACACUUCCACAAAUCCCUCCUUACUUUGACGAUAUUGUACAUUAUUCAGCCCAUAAAUUAUUACGACCACUCUAUAAAUUAAUACAGACACUGCAUACUUUUAUCCCCGACUCGUGCAAUAUUUAUCUAGCAUCGGGAAUAGAAAUGAUCACGUUUCAUUUACGUAUUCUUACUGAAAAGAUUAUUCAAUUACAAAAUUACAAUAUUUUCAGCUUAACUAGUAAUCGUGUGAAGUAAAUUUAAGUUUUUUUUUGCAAAAUACAUCAUUCUAUUGAGCAUUUGAAAAAAAAAAUGUAUUUCAACUGUCUCUACUUUAUUCUACGCGAAUUUCCAUCAUCCUGUUGCAGUUGCGUAAAAGUGUUAAAUGAACAGUUUUAUUUUUUCAGGUCCAUAAUAAAAGAAUGACGAAAUAAUUCAUUUUUGUCGUUUUUAGUAUAGUAAUUUCUUAUUUAACAGCGGGCAUUUUUUUUAUUUCACUUCUCCAAAACGUUGUAAAUAAUGUAUGAUGCUGAGCAAGAAUGAACUGGAACAAACACUAUAAAAAAUGUAUUUCGUAGAUACAUAAUUCCGUUAAAGAAGACCCCCAAAAAAAUAUGAUGAUAGCUCCCUUUUAAAGCAGAGUAAAACAUCCAAAGAAAGGGUCAUAAUAUAAAUUGUUACAGCAAACGGAUCCGAGUACGAAUUUCAUUUUCAUUGAAAAUUCUUUUUGUAAAGAAGUCACGGUUGUUUUAGUUUUGACAGCUUUUUAACUGUCCUCUUGGGGAAAAAAACACUCCAAAAA